AGCCGCCGCGGUAAUACAGAGGUCUCAAGCGUUGUUCGGAAUCACUGGGCGUAAAGCGUGCGUAGGCUGUUUCGUAAGUCGUGUGUGAAAGGCGCGGGCUCAACCCGCGGACGGCACAUGAUACUGCGAGACUAGAGUAAUGGAGGGGGAACCGGAAUUCUCGGUGUAGCAGUGAAAUGCGUAGAUAUCGAGAGGAACACUCGUGGCGAAGGCGGGUUCCUGGACAUUAACUGACGCUGAGGCACGAAGGCCAGGGGAGCGAAAGGGAUUAGAUACCCCUGUAGUCCUGGCAGUAAACGGUGCACGCUUGGUGUGCGGGGAAUCGACCCCCUGCGUGCCGGAGCUAACGCGUUAAGCGUGCCGCCUGGGGAGUACGGUCGCAAGAUUAAAACUCAAAGAAAUUGACGGGGACCCGCACAAGCGGUGGAGUAUGUGGCUUAAUUCGAUGCAACGCGAAGAACCUUACCUGGGCUUGACAUGUAAUGAACAACAUGUGAAAGCAUGCGACUCUUCGGAGGCGUUACACAGGUGCUGCAUGGCCGUCGUCAGCUCGUGUCGUGAGAUGUUUGGUUAAGUCCAGCAACGAGCGCAACCCCUGUUGCCAAGUUACCAGCACGUGAAGGUGGGGACUCUGGCGAGACUGCCCAGAUCAACUGGGAGGAAGGUGGGGACGACGUCAGGUCAGUAUGGCCCUUAUGCCCAGGGCUGCACACGUACUACAAUGCCCAGUACAGAGGGGGCCGAAGCCGCGAGGCGGAGGAAAUCCUAAAAACUGGGCCCAGUUCGGACUGUAGGCUGCAACCCGCCUACACGAAGCCGGAAUCGCUAGUAAUGGCGCAUCAGCUACGGCGCCGUGAAUACGUUCCCGGGUCUUGUACACACCGCCCGU
rnacentral:rRNA from 1 species